AUUGAACGCUGGCGGCAGGCCUAACACAUGCAAGUCGAACGGUAACAGGAAACAGCUUGCUGUUUCGCUGACGAGUGGCGGACGGGUGAGUAAUGUCUGGGAAACUGCCUGAUGGAGGGGGAUAACUACUGGAAACGGUAGCUAAUACCGCAUAACGUCGCAAGACCAAAGAGGGGGACCUUCGGGCCUCUUGCCAUCGGAUGUGCCCAGAUGGGAUUAGCUAGUAGGUGGGGUAACGGCUCACCUAGGCGACGAUCCCUAGCUGGUCUGAGAGGAUGACCAGCCACACUGGAACUGAGACACGGUCCAGACUCCUACGGGAGGCAGCAGUGGGGAAUAUUGCACAAUGGGCGCAAGCCUGAUGCAGCCAUGCCACGUGUAUGAAGAAGGCCUUCGGGUUGUAAAGUACUUUCAGCGGGGAGGAAGGGAGUAAAGUUAAUACCUUAACUCAUUGACGCUACCCGCAGAAGAAGCACCGGCUAACUCCGUG
rnacentral:rRNA from 1 species